rnacentral:rRNA from 1 species
GGAGUUUGGGCCGUGUCUCAGUCCCAAUGUGGCCGGUCACCCUCUCAGGUCGGCUACUGAUCGUCGCCUUGGUGAGCCGUUACCUCACCAACUAGCUAAUCAGACGCGGGUCCAUCCUAUACCACCGGAGUUUUUCACACUAGACCAUGCGGUCUUGUGCGCUUAUGCGGUAUUAGCAGUCGUUUCCAACUGUUAUCCCCCUGUAUAGGGUAGGUUACCCACGCGUUACUCACCCGUCCGCCACUCAGUCACCUCAAGGUGAAUCAAUCAAAAGCAAGCUUUCUCAAUCUUCGAUUAGAGGUGCUUCGUUCGACUUGCAUGUGUUAAGCACGCCGCCAGCGUUCAUCCUGAGCCAUGAUCAAACUCA